CGUCGGCCUAAAUUUCUAAUCUUAAUCUACCAUUUACUCAGUUACCAGAAACGAUGGAAGCUCGAGCAGCGUUUGAAGGGCGUCUCCUGCUUCCACUCCUCUCCGCCUUUAGCAGCACCAGCGUUAGGGCAACUAAGCUGGUUUGUGUACAAACGAAGCUGGACAUGGAGGAUGGUUAUCCACCCAUUGUAGCAGUUAACGUAGCAAGAAGAGCACUUUUGGGGAUUGUUGGAGUUAACGUGGUCCUUGGUAAUUUUUGUGCUGCUCGUGCUGCACCGAUGCAGGACAUGAAAGAACCGGAUGUUCUCAGGACACUGAAGCUUCCUAGUGGGGUCAUAAUACAAGACAUAGUUGAAGGAAAAGGGAAAGAAGCUGGCGAAGAAGAUACCGUGCAAUUCAAUUAUGUAUGUCGGAGGUCAAAUGGUUAUUUUGUCCACAGCACCGUCAAUCAGUUCAGCGGAGAAAGUUCUCCUGUCAUACUCCGUCUGGGUGACGAGCAGAUGAUAAAAGGUCUCAAGGAGGUUUUGAGUGGAAUGAAGGUUGGAGGAAAACGACGAGCUUUAAUACCUCCUUCAGUCGGAUAUACUAGUGAAGCUUUACAACCGAUUCCGGAAGAGUUUGGUCCUCGUCGAAGCCUUCUGUCUCAUGCGAAGGAGCCUUUAAUUUUCGAGGGCCAAGAACUGUGAGCAUUAGUUGGUUCUUACACACUAUUCUGCUCCAAUUUUGAAGUAUCCAUGACAUUGAAGUUUCCAAGUGGGGAAUUUGUUGGCCUCGUAUCAAAUUUUGACAAAGACUAAGGAUUCAUAUUCAGACACCUAUUUUUCCCUUUUUGAUUCCCGGGUUUUCGUUUGUCGCCUUUGUGUUGCAAUAUUGCAUUGGCCAGGUACACCCCACCAAUUUUAGUUUAAAUAAAUAUAUCCAUUUGCUAGUCUGCUAUAUUCACCAACACAGGAAUGGGUUCCUGGCUUGUGGUGAAGUAGAUGAUUGUUCUCGACUCGACUCCGGUUUAGUCAAGACAGCUGGGUAUCUAUCUGAUAGACUCAUCUUUUUGUUUUUUUCAGCUUUUGAUUUAUUGAUGCAGCUAAGGGUGUUUGAGAUCCCGCAUGAAUAUUCAGUUUUUUUUUUAAACUUAAGUUGAUAAUUUUCUGU